rnacentral:piRNA from 1 species
UUAAAAUUCAACAAUUGGAUC